rnacentral:misc_RNA from 1 species
UCCGGGUUGGUCCCGGCGGUCCGGCCAGACUUCAUAACUGGCCGCGGGGGUUGCGCUCGUUGCGGGACUUAACCCAACACCUCACGGCACGAGCUGACGACAGCCGUGCAGCACCUGCGCGCGCUCCCUCGCGGGUCCCUCGGCUUUCGCCUCGGUACCACGCGCAUGUCAAGCCCGGGUAAGGUUCUUCGCGUCGCAUCGAAUUAAACCACACGCUCCGCUGCUUGUGCGGGCCCCCGUCAAUUCCUUUGAGUUCUAGCCUUGCGGCCGUACUCCCCAGGCGGGGCACUCACUGCGUUAGCGGCGGCACCGGGGGGGUCGAUACCCCCGACACCUAGUGCCCAUCGUUUACGGCGUGGACUAC